GACGAACGCUGGCGGCGUGCUUAACACAUGCAAGUCGAACGGAAAGGCCUGCUUUCCCUUGUGGAUUGCGGGUACUCGAGUGGCGAACGGGUGAGUAACACGUGAGUGAUCUGCCCCCAACUUGGGUAUAAGCCUGGGAAACUGGGUCUAAUUCCCGAUAGGACUGCAGGGUGGUGCCUGUGGUGGAAAACGAUUUUCUAGUGGUUGGGGAUGAGCUCGCGGCCUAUCAGCUUGUUGGUGGGGUAAUGGCCUACCAAGGCGGCGACGGGUAGCCGGCCUGAGAGGGUGGACGGCCACAUUGGGACUGAGAUACGGCCCAGACUCCUACGGGAGGCAGCAGUGGGGAAUAUUGCACAAUGGGCGGAAGCCUGAUGCAGCGACGCCGCGGGGGGGAUGACGGACUUCGGGUUGUAAACUCCUUUCGACCGCGAGGAAGCCACCUGGUUGGAAGGGUGGUGACGGUAGUGGUAGAAGAAGCACCGGCUAACUACGUG
rnacentral:rRNA from 1 species